GGAGGGUGCAAGCGUUGUUCGGAAUUAUUGGGCGUAAAGAGCGUGUAGGCGGUUCGGUAAGUCAGAUGUGAAAGCCCUGGGCUCAACCCAGGAAGUGCAUUUGAAACUACCAGACUUGAGUACGGGAGAGGAGGGGGGAAUUCCCGGUGUAGAGGUGAAAUUCGUAGAUAUCGGGAGGAAUACCAGUGGCGAAGGCGCCCCUCUGGACCGAUACUGACGCUGAGACGCGAAAGCGUGGGGAGCAAACAGGAUUAGAUACCCUGGUAGUCCACGCCGUAAACGAUGAGCACUAGGUGUAGCGGGUAUUGACCCCCUGCUGUGCCGUAGCUAACGCAUUAAGUGCUCCGCCUGGGGACUACGGUCGCAAGACUA
rnacentral:rRNA from 1 species